CAACGUAACAUUAGUGUUGGUGACAUAGUGUUGUUAAAGGAUGUCGAAACCCAUCGCAACAACUGGCCGCUUGGACGCAUUACUGCAACGUUUCCUGGCAAGGACAACUUGGUUCGCAAGGUUGAAGUACGUGUCAGCAAGGACGGCAAGACCACCUCUUACGUCAGACCAGUGACGGAACUCAUUUUAUUAUUGGAGAACUGAAUGUUUUCUGUACUAAAUUGUAUUCAAAUCUUGUGUGAUAUAAUUUUAUAUAUCAGACGGGGAGUGUCAUGUUUCGUGUACAUUUUAUUUUUUGUUACGAAAGAUUUGUCGUACGACUUAAUUUUUUAUGUUGGAAAACCGCGCCAUACUCGAUGUAUGCACAACUCUGAUUCUCUGUAUCGAGGCUUGUAAUCCACAGUCUUUUUACCGUCGUCUGAGACGGUUAUCUGUCUCCCAAAUAAACUGAUUUCACCGACA